rnacentral:rRNA from 1 species
GACGAACGCUGGCGGCGUGCUUAACACAUGCAAGUCGAACGGAAAGGCCUUUUCGGAGGUACUCGAGUGGCGAACGGGUGAGUAACACGUGGGUGAUCUGCCCUGCACUCUGGGAUAAGCCUGGGAAACUGGGUCUAAUACCGGAUAGGACCGCACUUUAGUGUGUGUGGUGGAAAGUUUUUUCGGUGUAGGAUGAGCCCGCGGCCUAUCAGCUUGUUGGUGGGGUAAUGGCCUACCAAGGCGGCGACGGGUAGCCGGACUGAGAGGUUGGUCGGCCACAUUGGGACUGAGAUACGGCCCAGACUCCUACGGGAGGCAGCAGUGGGGAAUAUUGCACAAUGGGCGCAAGCCUGAUGCAGCGACGCCGCGUGGGGGAUGACGGCCUUCGGGCUGUAAACUCCUUUCGCCAGGGACGAAGCGUUUUGUGACGGUACCUGGAGAAGAAGCACCGGCUAACUACGUG